CGGCCGCGCUGCCAGGCUUAGGUGCCCUGCCCCGCGCCCUGCGCCCCGCGCCCCGCCGGGGUCCCUACUCGGGACCCUGGCUCUUCCUGGCCCUGGAAAGAUCCUUCUGCUCAGGCCCUGUUCUCAUGCAGUUCACUGUCCACGGAGAGAGAGGUGCGCAGAGGGACCAUCACAUGUUAAGACAACAUUGUCUGGAGCAAAGGACAGAAGCUUUAUUCUGUCCCAGCACAACUUCUCAAAGGACAGGUGACAGUGGAGACAGUAUAAAGUCAGUGACCUGGCCCAAGACUGUCAAAUCAUCCUGUCUCCAGUGUGCAUUUGCCCUCAGAAUUCUGAGCUCACCUCCCUUUAAAGGCAUUGCUCCUCGGAA
rnacentral:lncRNA from 1 species